GGAACCCCAGGGAAACCGAAAGUACUGUAACCUCUGGGUUGGCCUUGCGGGGGGCGGGGCUGAAGGUGUGGUCGCGCCCUAAACCUGGACGAAGGUGGCUACCUAAACGUCUCCUGGGAGCCAAAAGAGCAAAUCAGACCAAAUCUCUUCAAAUAACUGACUGACCUUCAGAGUGAUGGUCCUCUCAGCUUGACUGAAUGUACUCUCCUUCUACAGGACAAGUUAGGUAGGGAGAUUCCUUUUUCCAGAAACUGCAAAACCUAUUACGCACUACUAGGCUACCAUUUGAUUAUAAGGGACGCUGAAUUUCAAUUAUUUCAUCCUUGGAGACUAAGAAUUACUUACAAUAUUAAUAAGCAAUUUUUCUUUGAGUUUCCUGGCCUUCGGGUCAGACAUUCAACUUUUA